UCAGGGAUCUUGCGCAAUGGACGAAAGUCUGACGCAGCGACGCCGCGUGAAGGAUGAAGUCUUUCGGGAUGUAAACUUCUUUUAAUGGGGAAGAAUUCAGACGGUACCCAUAGAAUAAGCCCCGGCUAACUACGUGCCAGCAGCCGCGGUAAGACGUAGGGGGCGAGCGUUGUCCGGAGUUACUGGGCGUAAAGGGCGCGUAGGCGGUUCUGCAAGUCGGUUGUGAAAACAUCAGGGCUUAACCCGAUGCUUGCAUCCGAUACUGCAGAACUUGAGGAAUGGAGAGGAAGCUAGAAUUACUGGUGUAGCGGUGAAAUGCGUUGAUAUCAGUAGGAAUACCGGUGGCGAAGGCGGGCUUCUGGCCAUUAUCUGACGCUGAGGCGCGAAAGCUGGGGGAGCAAACAG
rnacentral:rRNA from 1 species